rnacentral:rRNA from 1 species
GUCUGCUUGGAGAUAUAAGAAGUUUAACCUGCUCACUGAUAAGUUUAAAGAGCCGCGGUAUACUGACCGUGCAAAGGUAGCAUAAUUGUUAGUUUUUUAAUUGGAAUCUUGUAUGAAUGGUUGGACAAAAGAAAAUCUGUCUCUUUAGUUAUAAUUGAAUUUAACUUUUAAGUGAAAAGGCUUAAAUUAAUUAAAAAGACGAUAAGACCCUAUAAAGCUUUAUAAAUAAUUUCUAUUAGGUUGAAUUAUAUUAUAAAAAUUUAGUAGUUAUAUUUAUUUUAUUGGGGUGAUAGAGGUAUAAUUAUUAUUAACUGCUUAAUUGUUAUACAAAAUAUUUGGGUAAUAUGUUAAAGAUCCUAUUUAAAGAUUAAAAGAUUAAGUUACUUUAGGGAUAACAGCGUUAUUUUUUUUGAGAGUUCUUAUCGAAAAAAGAGUUUGCGACCUCGAUGUUGAAUUAAAAUAUCUAAGUAAUUGCAGUAGUUACUUUAGAAGGUCUGUUCGACCUUUAAAUUUUUACAUGAUUUGAGUUCAGACCGGCGUGAGCCAGGUCGGUUUCUAUCUUUUAAUAAAAGUAGACUAUUUUAGUACGAAAGGAUUAAGUAGUCAAAAUUUUUUUUUAGUUGG